rnacentral:rRNA from 1 species
UACGUAGGUGGCAAGCGUUAUCCGGAUUUAUUGGGUUUAAAGGGUGCGUAGGCGGUUCUAUAAGUCAGUGGUUAAAGGUAGCAGCUUAACUGUUUUACAUGCCACUGAUACUGCAGAACUUGAGUUGACAGAAGGCAGAUAGAAUUUCUGGUGUAGCGGUGAAAUGCUUAGAUACCAGAAGGAAUACCGAUUGCGAAGGCAGUCUGCUGCAGUCACACUGACGCUGAGGCACGAAAGUGCGGGGAUCAAACAGG